AAUAAAAAGAGGACAGGGCACGGCUUAAGAACCUGGAGAAAUCUCAGCUCCGAUUAAGCCUCACCAGAGAAGGAGUGCACAAGGAGGUCUGGCGACACUCUGGAUGUACUUCCUGUGGGCACUUUAAAGACCGGGAAGCGCUCUACUAAUGGAAGAUCUAGUGCUCCUACAGAAGAAGUCACAUGGAACCCUUGCAACAAUUCAUCCUGACCCACAGAUACGAUCAUUUCACAUAUCAAGCAUGAGAUGUGAUUACCCGUAUCUAAGCAUGAGCAAGAUGCAUGACCUACAUGUUAUUAGUGGUCAUUAAAUCCUCAAAUGCUACUUGAAUUCAGGUCAUUUUAUUUCAGCGAUCUCUUGUAACAGGGCAUUGAACUUUUUUGGUGUUCUUAAAACAUACAGGAUAAAAUACUGGAGUUUUUAAAUUGAAAGAGAUAGGAUAAACACAGGAUAAGAAAAAUGAAAAUAUUGCACACAUAGAAAGUACAGUAAGAUGGACAGUGGUAUCACUGAUAUCAGACUGCAAAACCCCACUC